AUGUGUGAGUUUGACAGAUGGGACAGUGGGAAAAUCCGCUUAGCAACUUUCUGCUGAUGGAGGUUCAUUGAGUAAAGCCCCACACUUUCUCAUUCAAUCACCGCAGCGAGGCCUCGCACGCUUCUGAUCAACUUUAUCAGAUACAGUUUCAAGAUCAGGGACAUGUCUGCCGAAAAGAAGCCCAAAAAGAAGAAGCCCGAGUCGACUCCAGCAGAGACCAACGGGACCGAAGCCAAACCCAAAAAGACCAAGAGCAAGAAGAGCAGUGAUCUGCCGGCCGAGAGCAGUUCGGUCACUCAGAAUGGAGAGAAGGUGAAGAAGAAGAAACUGGAGAAGGACAAAGAAUCAACAGAGAAGGAGAAGGAAAUCAAAAAGAAAGCGAAAAGUGCUCCAAAGAAGAAGAAGAGUUCUACAGAUGAUGACGAUGAUGAAGAAGGGCAUGAUGAAGAGACCACUCCUCAGAAGAAGACAAAGAAAAAAACUUCAAAAGAAAGUUCUGAUGGAAAGGAAAAAGAUAAGAAGUCCAAAGCAAAAGAUGUCAAAGAGGACGCAGACAGUAAAGGAAAGUCUAAAGCCAAGAAGAAGGAACCAGCCUCCAUGUUUCAGAUCAACGGAGACAAGCCUGAAACCAAGAGUAAGAAGAAAGCAGCUGCUAAAUCUGAGAGUGAAGAGGAGAGCGAACCAGAAACCAAAACCAGCAAGACGAAGAAGAAGAGCAGCUCAAACCCAGCGUGCAUGUUUCAGACAGGAGGGGACAAAGACAAGGACAAGGACAAAAAGACAAAAAAGACCAAAACUCCUGCUAAAGCAGAAGAGACUGAAGACUCUGAUUCAGAAGUGACAAAGAAGAAGAAAAAGGGCAAAGGGAAAAAAGGAAAGAAGGAGGAGCGAGCACCUUCUCCUCCCAUCGAGUUUGACAAUCUGGAGGAGUUCGUUCUUCAGCCUGUACAACAAGGCGUCACGGUAAAGUGCAAAGUGACCCGUGACAAGAGAGGGAUGGACCGAGGCCUUUACCCAACAUACUACCUGCACCUGGACGACGAGAAGAAAGUAUUUUUGUUAGCGGGAAGGAAAAGGAAAAAAAGCACAACCUCAAACUACUUGAUCUCCAUAGACCCGACCGACCUCUCCAGAGGAGGAGAAAACUUCAUUGGGAAGCUGAGGUCAAAUCUGAUGGGAACCAAGUUCACGGUGUUUGAUAAUGCACUGCAUCCGGACAGAGCUCUGCCGGACAUGUCUAACGCACGGCAGGAGUUAGCAGCUAUUAUCUAUGAAACAAAUGUUUUGGGCAUGAAAGGACCAAGGCGAAUGAUUGUAAUUAUUCCUGGCAUGAACAAAGAUGGAGAACGAGUCCCUAUGCGGCCACGUAGUCUGAAUCAACUGCUUCCCAACAGGAAAAUGAUGGCCUCCUCAUUAGACACCAGAACAGAAAUAUGGAGAACUUGAUAGAGCUGCGCAAUAAGACGCCGGUGUGGAAUGAAGAAACGGCGUCACACGUGUUAAACUUCAACGGCAGAGUCACACAGGCCUCCAUCAAAAACUUCCAGAUUGUGCAUAACAAAGACCAGGACUAUAUAGUGAUGCAGUUUGGGAGAGUAGCAGACGAUGCCUUCACUCUGGACUAUAGGUAUCCUCUGUGUGCUGUACAAGCCUUUGCUAUCGCUCUCUCCAGCUUUGAUGGCAAAAUGGCCUGCGAGUAAAAGUGUAAAGACGUCCGUGAUUUUGUCAAAUGCAAAAAAUGGGAAAUGUUCUCAAUCAGCAUCAGCACAAUUCACGACGAGAGGACCAAAACCCAUAAAUCUGUAAGAUAAAGCCACCAUUGCUAGUGGGGUUGCAUGAUUUUACAUGCCAUAGAGAGAUCUGCUGGUGAUACCAGCUUUGGCUUAAAAUAAGUAAUGGUUGUACAGUGGAUGUACUGAGAAGGGAGGAAGUGUUUUGAGGUGUUUGAUUUUGAGUUUGAAAGAUGUAAAUGACCCCUGGUGGUGAGGAGGUCAUGCUAGAUGUGUCCUGUGUUUGAAAAGGGCAAAAGAAACAAUGGAUUUAUUUAAUGGUUUUAUUGUUAUGCAUACCAUGCAAUUAGGAAAAAUGUGUUUUAACAUUGUCUGCUUUACAUUUUAGUAAACCCGGUUAAAAUUGGUGUUAUCUAAUCCUAGUAACAUAAAUAAAAAUAAAAAAACUAGUUCACCCAAAAUUGCUGAAAAUUUUCUCACCAUCAGAACAUUCAAGAUGAGUUGAUUUGGAGAAAUGUAGCAUUGUAUCACUUGCUCACCAUUGGAUCCUCUGCAGUGAAUGGGUGCCGUCAGAAUGAGAGUCCAAACAUCUGAUAAUAACAUGACAAUAAUCCACAAGUAAUAAUCAAUACCACUCCAGUUCAUCAUUUAAUGACUGUGUGUUUGUAAGAAACAAAUCUUUUAUUAGGGAGUUUUAAUUUUUUUAAAUAAAAACUCUUGUCCAAAAUCCAUAAUCCAUAAUAAAGUUAAAGAAGUUAGAACCAUCUUAAUGAUAGAUUUGUUUUUUUAUAAACACAGCUUUUGGCAUCACAAGAUGUUAACUGAGUGCUGUGGAUCAUUUGUGGAUUAUUGUGAUGUUUUUAUCAGCUGUUUGGACUCUCAUUCUGACGGCACCCAUUCACUGCAGAGGAUCAAUUCCUGAGCAAGUGAUGUAAUCCUUAAUCUCUCCAAAACUUUUCCCAUGAAGAGACAAACCUCUAAAUCUUGGAUGGCUUGAGCACUCUGGGUGAGUACAUUUUUAGAAAAUGUUAAUUUUUGGGUGAACUAUUCCUUUUAAAAAGGGGAAAAAACAUGUAUCUGUAUUAUUGGUGUUUUGUGUGAGUAACAGUGUAAGAAUGCUUAUCUGAGAGCAAGCGAGAAAGAGGGCCCAAGAUUAAAGCAAGGUCCAGGGUUGUCAAAGCUGAUAGUAAAUUUCUGAUUUUUGCACAUGAAAUAUAAUUGACUGAUGCUUGGAGUAGGCUAUGUCAAACAUUUCAACCGCUUGUGCAGUUUGCUUACUCAAGCAAAGAUGAUCUGGAAUACUGAGUGUCAAUACAGGAAUACCAAAUCACUUGAUGCAUAUGUGAACACCUGAUGUUUGGUGUUUAAUUCUUUUGUUUUGCCUUGUACGUGUAAUUGUAGUUUGUUAUUUGUGUAACAUAAGAUAUUUGAUAAAAACCCAUAACUGUCUUAAUGCACACAGACAAAAGUCAUUAGUCAUGUCAUUCCAUUUUUACCUAAUGCAAAUAUAAAUGUAGGAAGACAAAUUUGAAAUUUACUUUGAAAUGAAAUAAGUGUUUGUAAAAAUGUGCUUCGUUUAAGAGUUUCAUUUCUGGGUGUUUGAUGGAUGUGUGAAAGGUUUUGCUUUUGAGAAUGCAGGUUGCCUAAAGUCAAUAUGAAAUAAAAAUGUACUUCCUUGCA